UAGGGAAUCUUCGGCAAUGGGGGGAACCCUGACCGAGCAACGCCGCGUGAGUGAAGAAGGUUUUCGGAUCGUAAAGCUCUGUUGUUAAGGAAGAACGAGUGUGAGAAUGGAAAGUUCAUGCUGUGACGGUACUUAACCAGAAAGGGACGGCUAACUACGUGCCAGCAGCCGCGGUAAUACGUAGGUCCCGAGCGUUGUCCGGAUUUAUUGGGCGUAAAGCGAGCGCAGGCGGUUAGAAAAGUCUGAAGUGAAAGGCAGUGGCUCAACCAUUGUAAGCUGUGGAAACUGUUUAACUUGAGUGCAGAAGGGGAGAGUAGAAUUCCAUGUGUAGCGGUGAAAUGCGUAGAUAUAUGGAGGAACACCGAUGGCGAAAGCGGCUCUCUGGUCUGUAACUGACGAUGAGGCUCGAAAGCGUGGGGAGCGAACAGG
rnacentral:rRNA from 1 species